rnacentral:rRNA from 1 species
CAUCCUCCAAGGCUAAAUACUCCUGACUGACCGAUAGUGAACCAGUACCGUGAGGGAAAGGCGAAAAGAACCCCGGCGAGGGGAGUGAAAAAGAACCUGAAACCGUGUACGUACAAGCAGUGGGAGCACCCUUUGGGGUGUGACUGCGUACCUUUUGUAUAAUGGGUCAGCGACUUAUAUUCUGUAGCAAGGUUAACCGAAUAGGGGAGCCGGAGGGAAACCGAGUCUUAACCGGGCGUUAAGUUGCAGGGUAUAGACCCGAAACCCGGUGAUCUAGCCAUGGGCAGGUUGAAGGUUGGGUAACACUAACUGGAGGACCGAACCGACUAAUGUUGAAAAAUUAGCGGAUGACCUGUGGCUGGGGGUGAAAGGCCAAUCAAACCGGGAGAUAGCUGGUUCUCCCCGAAAGCUAUUUAGGUAGCGCCUCGUGAAUUCAUCUCCGGGGGUAGAGCACUGUUUCGGCUAGGGGGCCAUCCCGGCUUACCAACCCGAUGCAAACUGCGAAUACCGGAGAAUGUUAUCACGGGAGACACACGGCGGGUGCUAACGUCCGUCGUGAAGAGGGAAACAACCCAGACCGCCAGCUAAGGUCCCAAAGUCAUGGUUAAGUGGGAAACGAUGUGGGAAGGCCCAGACAGCCAGGAUGUUGGCUUAGAAGCAGCCAUCAUUUAAAGAAAGCGUAAUAGCUCACUGGUCGAGUCGGCCUGCGCGGAAGAUGUAACGGGGCUAAACCAUGCACCGAAGCUGCGGCAGCGACGCUGAUGCGUUGUUGGGUAGGGGAGCGUUCUGUAAG